AUAAACAGUAAACAGCAAUAAUGUUCAGCAAAGUAAGAUUUACAAAUAAGUCAACAUGACUGAAAUGGUCAGUUGACCCCUUUAGGAGUUAUUGCCCUUUAUAGUCAAUUUUUAACCAUUUUUCGUAAAUCUUAGUAAUCUUUUACAAAAAUCUUCUCCUCUGAAACUACUGGGCCAAAUUAAUCCAAACUUGGCCACAAUCAUCUUUUGGGUUAGUAGUUUGAAAAAUGUGUCCGGUGACCCGGCCAUCAAACCAAGAUGGCGCCAUGGCUAAAAAUAGAACAUGGGGGUAAAAUGCAGUUUUUGGCUUAUAACUCAAAAC
rnacentral:lncRNA from 1 species